CCUCAUCUGAAUCUCAUCAUCCUAAAUCCUUUGGUCACUCCGACUUUUCUAAAACACCUUUCUCGAUUCCUUUCCAGUUUCCAGUAUGCAGAUCUUCGUGAAAACCCUCACCGGAAAGACCAUUACUCUCGAGGUCGAGAGCUCUGAUACCAUCGAUAACGUUAAGGCCAAGAUCCAAGACAAGGAAGGAAUACCACCCGAUCAGCAGAGGUUGAUCUUCGCCGGAAAACAGCUUGAAGACGGCCGUACACUAGCCGACUACAACAUCCAGAAGGAAUCGACUCUCCAUCUCGUCCUCCGUCUCCGUGGAGGCAUGCAGAUCUUUGUCAAAACCCUCACCGGAAAGACCAUUACACUCGAGGUCGAGAGCUCUGAUACCAUCGAUAACGUUAAGGCCAAGAUCCAAGACAAGGAAGGAAUACCACCCGAUCAGCAGAGGUUGAUCUUCGCCGGAAAGCAGCUUGAAGACGGCCGUACACUAGCCGACUACAACAUCCAGAAGGAGUCGACUCUCCAUCUCGUCCUCCGUCUCCGUGGAGGCAUGCAGAUCUUUGUCAAAACCCUCACCGGCAAGACUAUCACUCUUGAGGUGGAGAGUUCCGACACAAUUGAUAACGUCAAGGCCAAGAUCCAAGACAAGGAAGGCAUCCCACCUGAUCAGCAGAGGCUGAUCUUCGCCGGAAAACAGCUUGAAGAUGGCCGAACCCUUGCCGAUUAUAACAUCCAGAAGGAGUCGACACUCCACCUGGUUCUGAGGCUUCGUGGAGGAAUGCAGAUUUUUGUGAAGACAUUGACUGGGAAGACGAUCACUUUGGAGGUUGAGAGCUCUGAUACAAUUGAUAAUGUCAAGGCAAAAAUCCAGGACAAAGAGGGAAUUCCACCAGAUCAACAGAGGCUGAUCUUUGCAGGGAAGCAAUUGGAAGAUGGGCGUACGCUUGCUGAUUACAAUAUCCAGAAGGAGUCCACUCUUCACCUUGUGCUUCGUCUCCGUGGUGGUUUCUGAUUGAAAAUCAUUCAAGGAUUAGCUGGAAGGUUCCUGACCGUUGGCCCCCAAACGACGCAACGUUUUCUUCCAGCCAAACUUGACCACUACUUUCUUUCCUUGGAUAGGAAGGAUUCUGUUCCUUCCACACCCUCCCAUUCAGAGUCGGCUGUUCUCCUCUAUAUAAACUCGCUUCUUCGUGCUUCUUCUCAUCUUCAUCUAGUCAAUCAAAAUCCUUUCUUCUACAAAAUCUCCCGAGAAAACAAGCCUCUUCUUUUUCUCUUUUAGCUACCCAAUAUGCAGAUUUUCGUUAAAACCCUCACCGGCAAGACCAUUACUCUCGAGGUCGAGAGCUCCGAUACCAUCGACAACGUCAAAGCUAAGAUCCAAGACAAGGAAGGGAUUCCACCGGAUCAGCAAAGAUUGAUCUUUGCCGGUAAACAGCUUGAAGAUGGCCGCACUUUGGCCGAUUAUAACAUCCAGAAGGAGUCUACUCUCCAUCUUGUCCUCCGUCUCCGUGGCGGCAUGCAGAUCUUUGUUAAAACCCUCACCGGAAAGACUAUUACUCUUGAGGUUGAGAGCUCUGACACUAUUGAUAAUGUCAAGGCCAAGAUCCAAGAUAAAGAAGGGAUCCCUCCUGACCAGCAGAGGCUGAUCUUCGCCGGAAAGCAACUUGAGGAUGGUCGGACCCUUGCUGACUAUAAUAUUCAGAAGGAGUCGACACUGCAUCUUGUUCUCCGGUUGAGGGGAGGUAUGCAGAUCUUCGUCAAGACUCUUACCGGCAAGACGAUAACCUUGGAGGUGGAAAGUUCCGACACCAUCGAUAAUGUUAAAGCCAAGAUCCAGGACAAGGAAGGCAUUCCUCCUGACCAGCAGAGGCUGAUCUUCGCCGGAAAGCAACUUGAGGAUGGCCGAACCCUUGCCGACUAUAAUAUACAGAAGGAAUCCACUCUGCAUCUUGUUCUGCGUUUGAGGGGAGGUAUGCAGAUCUUCGUCAAAACCCUGACCGGCAAGACCAUAACCCUAGAGGUUGAAAGCUCCGACACAAUCGACAAUGUUAAAGCCAAGAUCCAGGACAAGGAAGGCAUUCCUCCUGACCAGCAGCGUCUGAUCUUUGCCGGAAAGCAGCUGGAGGAUGGGAGGACCCUCGCUGAUUACAACAUACAGAAGGAAUCCACCUUGCAUCUCGUUCUCCGAUUGAGGGGCGGAAUGCAGAUCUUUGUCAAAACUCUCACCGGCAAGACCAUAACACUAGAGGUUGAAAGCUCCGACACAAUUGAUAACGUGAAGGCCAAGAUCCAAGAUAAGGAAGGAAUCCCACCUGACCAGCAGCGACUGAUCUUCGCCGGGAAGCAGCUAGAGGACGGAAGGACCCUUGCCGAUUAUAACAUCCAGAAGGAGUCCACACUCCACCUGGUUCUUAGGCUUCGUGGGGGUAUGCAGAUUUUUGUGAAGACCUUGACCGGGAAGACAAUCACUCUAGAAGUCGAGAGCUCGGAUACUAUUGAUAAUGUCAAAGCAAAAAUCCAGGACAAGGAAGGGAUACCGCCUGAUCAGCAGAGGCUGAUUUUUGCUGGGAAGCAAUUAGAGGAUGGGCGUACACUUGCUGAUUAUAAUAUCCAGAAGGAGUCCACCCUCCACCUUGUGCUCCGUCUUCGCGGUGGUGAUUGCUGAAUCAAAGUCUGUUUCUUUUCAAAGUUGUGUGUCUAGUAUUUGGUUUCUUGCAUUUCAUAUUAAACAUCAGAUGUUCUUUGCCAAGGAUAUCUAAUAGUAUUGUGUCAUGUUUUAAGUCUGAUUGAUAAAUAAAGUUACUUGAUUUCCU